rnacentral:rRNA from 1 species
GUAGGUGGCAAGCGUUGUCCGGAAUUAUUGGGCGUGAAGCGCGCGCAGGCGGUUCUGUAAGUCUGAUGUGAAAGCCCACGGCUCAACCGUGGAGGGUCAUUGGAAACUGGAGAACUUGAGUACAGAAGAGGAAAGCGGAAUUCCACGUGUAGCGGUGAAAUGCGUAGAGAUGUGGAGGAACACCAGUGGCGAAGGCGGCUUUCUGGUCUGUAACUGACGCUGAGGCGCGAAAGCGUGGGGGAGCAAACAGGAUUAGAUACCCUGGUAGUCCACGCCGUAAACGAUGAGUGCUAAGUGUUAGGGGGUUUCCGCCCCUUAGUGCUGCAGCUAACGCAUUAAGCACUCCGCCUGGGAGUACGGCCGCAAGGCUG